rnacentral:lncRNA from 1 species
UGAACUUAUUGAACUGAAUCAAAUUGAAAUGUGUCGAUAGGAAAUAGGAUGUAAGAAGCAUGUAUCUUGCAAACACAAAGUACAGAUAAUUUAUCUAAAAUUGAUGUAGAAAUAAGCCUCAAGUUCUCUACAUUGAGGUGAUAGAAUACUAAUGUAAGCACAGUAGCCAGAGGGCUACUCCCAUGAAAACAGAAACUUUGUGUCAUGUAUAUUGAUUCACAUGGAAUGCUCUGCUACUCUGAUUCUUGCAACUCUAGGCUGUUAUAAAAACAGACCAUCAGAAUAUGUUUUUCAAGGAAAAGUGCUGCAGAGACUGGGGUCUUUUUUCUUAAAUGUCAUUGAAUGAGCAAUAGCUGGAGCAGUUGUCAAGGGCUGGCUUCCUGCAUCACAAGGGAAGGGUUUGGAAGAGCAGACUGGAUCACAUCCCAGGAGACAUGGGUAUCUGUGACAGAAGGAAGGCAUCUGAAGCCUCCUGAGUGUCACGAGGAGCCAAACCAGAUCCAAAGAUGAAAGCAUCUUUUUCAUUCCCCUGUUUGACCCACAAGGGACACAGCUUGUGCUCUAACUGCUAUACCCUGUUAGUGUUGCUAAUACCAUUUGUUGCUACAUGGUUGCAAGAUGGUGAUCAAGCCACCAGCAUCAUAGAUGAGAUAGAAGAAGAGAAGCCUGAGGAAGUAAGCAGCAGAGUCCCAUCUUUCAUCAGAAGAGGACAGCUACCUCAAACGCAUCCAGAAAGCUCAUUGCAAUUGAUUCCAAAAAGUAUUUGAUGCAUGUCAAUGUGGUAUGAAGAAUAGAAAAAUACUCUCUGGACUUGAUGUCAAUAAUCUAUUACAACUUCCCAGGGAGCAUUGCACUGAACAGACAAUGUAGAAGAGUGCUAUGGAUUCAGUGACCAGUAAGUAGCAAAACUUCAUCUAUGUUGUGGAAUACUACUAAGCUAUUAAUGAAAAUGAUAAAGUGGAUUUUCAAGUAAUGAUAUGAUGACAUGUGUAAGAAGUAUUAUUCAAAUGAAAAAAAUAGGCCACAUACAACCAACUUUCAUUUUCUUUAAAAACGUGAAUAUUUUUAACAUUCAUAACCAAAGUUGAGCGUGCUAUACAGAGGAGUUAAGCUCCCUGCACCCACAGCCUGGCCUGUGCUGCAAACUGGAAAUACUCUCUCUUCAACCUUUUCUCAGUUUGGGUAAAUAAAUUCCCUGAGCAAAAUGGUGCUUGAUACA